rnacentral:misc_RNA from 1 species
CUCUCUCUCUCUCUCUCCUGUUUUUUCCCUUUCUUGUUUCUCUAGGAUUGCUGGGAAGGUCCCUUUCUCAUUGUUUUUUAUAUAUGCUUAGAAGUAAAACAUGGAUACCAUAGGAAUGAGAUUACAGUGUCACAUGGAAGAAAAUUUGAAUGGCUACUUCAUAAAUAUGGGUUAUGGGGUUCUCAAGAUAGAGUGCAACCCAUUUUUCUGCAGCCAGCUUUGUGGAGUCCUAAUUUGCUGUGGGAAUCCUGAUGAUGCUGCAGCAUUCGCAACCAACUGAUAAGGAGGUGGCGGAGGCCUGGAUUGCCAUUGUCGCUGUUGGUGGUGGUCGUAAUCACUAGGCGAUAAUGAAAGAUCACUGCCAAUUCGGCCUCCAUUGCUGCUGCUCGGAAACUGAAUUUGAUAGUUUGUUGGUGAAAAAUCAUGAAACAUCUGGGUUUCUCCAGGUCUCCUGAAUUGUCCAUAUCUUUGUGGUUCAUUUCCUGGAGAUUGAAUGUGCGUUUGGCUAAGAAGCUGCAUAGUUUCAGUCUCACAGUAACCUUCUCUUCUAUGCUCAUUACUAUCACUAUUUCUAUACAGGUUUAGCUGGGAAUGAAUCAAUGAAAUUAGUUAGCAAAAGAAGAUUCUAUCAAAAACUUUGAUUAAGCCAUUAAUUACAUUUACUUCCAAGCUUUUGUAUACCUUAGGCCUAAUUCCCCGAUUUCGCCAAUCAGCUUCGAAUGGCAUCUGUGCUGAUUGCUGAUCUAUUCCAGCAUUUUGCCUAUCAUUACUAAAUCCUACAUUGUUUUGCUUCGAACCAGAAUUGCCUAAACUCAAAUCAAGAUUGUGAUCUGCAGCACUACCUGAAGAUUCUGAAAAACAUACAUGUACCAAAUAAUGGAAUGACAUAAGCCAAUCCAUGCUUGCACGCUAUCAAUCCAAGAAAAAUCAGAAGAAUCCUCCAGGGCUUACCAGAAGAGUUGAGCUCAUUUUCAUAAAUGCUGGGAUCGAAAUUGGUCACAGCCUCUUUGCCGUUGCACUUGAUAGCAGCCUUAUCAUACGCCCUUGCAGCUUCAAUCUCAGUAUCAAACAAGCCCAAAUACACAUACUUUUUGCCUAGAAAUUGGCCCAUUCGAGCUUCCCAUCUUCCACACUUGUGUAAGGUCACACCUCUAUAUUUAGAGCUUCCUCUGGGAAAACCGGUGCUUUGUCGGCGAAGUACAUGCACAAAUUCCUCUUUAGUAAGGUUGCUCAUCUGUUUUAAGUCGUCCUCAUAAUCUUCAAUAUUAAAAUUUAUAUCUGCCUCCACUCCUCUAAACUUGAUAGCUGCCCUAUCGUAUGCACUGCAAAAUAACAAAAGGGUUGAAAUCUUGGGCUCUGCAACUAGAAAUUUUGUUCAUUAACUUGCUUUCAGGGGGGAAAAAGAAGAGCGAAAAUAAAUGUUAUAGGCUUAGUAAAGAAGGGAACAAGAGCUCACCGAGCAGCUGCAUGUGCAGUGUCAAAUCCACCUAUAUUGGAAUAUCCAAGAAAAGAAGAACGCCAAGUCCAUCCCAUAUCAGAAAUGUUUGAACAAUUCAUGACAAAGAAACCAUUUUUUUUUCCACAAAUAAUAAUAAAUAUAUACUUGUGAUGAAGAUCAAAAUAGACUCCUACCUAGAUAGACUUGCUUCCCACAAUCCCAUAUAUGAGACUCCCAGCGGCCAGUUCUCCUGUAAAAUGUUACUCCUCUAUACUGAGAACUUCUGGACCUGGGACCUCGCCUGCUCUUUCUCAUUUGCUGCUGCUUUUCUUGCACAAUUUUCAGCUCUGCUCCACCACUAGGUUCCAUCUGUGAUAAUUUUAACCAUUGAGGCCUUAUCUUGGAAAAUCCAGACUGCAAAUCCAAUUCUAACCCAGUAUUUCUCACAGGAAAAGGUUGGUGGGUAGUGAAAUCUCGAAGUGGGUCGCUUUCUCUGAAAGCAUUAUUGUUGUGGUUGGCAUCAUUUUUCUCUUUCUUCAAGAUAUCAAAAAUCAAUGCAGAGUUGGAGGAGUUCUCGUCUCUUGGAUUGGUUAAAGCUUCUUCUAUGUUGAUGAUAAUGGAGGAGUUAGAUAUGCCUGAAUCCUCCAUUUGUGCUCGAGAAGCAGCCUCUUCUUCCGGGAGCUCAUUAUUCUCAAGCUCUCUGCUUACUACCAUAUUCUUGUGGUUGUUAUUGUUGUUGUUGUGGUGGUGCUGGUGGUGACCAUCACAAGAAGACUCACUAGAGAUGAUAUCAAGAUUGAGAUCCAACAUGGUGAUCUUCUUUUUUUUACUUUUCUUUUUUCUUAUUCUUGUUUUGGUUUCUGGUAUAUUGACCUUUGAAGCAAGCUAAACGAAACCAAAACCAAAACCCAUUUGUAUACUGAUAACUUCUUGAAGGAACGAAAAAGAAAAAAAAAAUUAAAAGAGAGGA